AUUGAACGCUGGCGGCAUGCCUUACACAUGCAAGUCGAACGGCAGCACGGGGGCAACCCUGGUGGCGAGUGGCGAACGGGUGAGUAAUGCAUCGGAACGUGCCCUGAAGUGGGGGAUAACGUAGCGAAAGUUACGCUAAUACCGCAUAUUCUGUGAGCAGGAAAGCAGGGGAUCGCAAGACCUUGCGCUUUAGGAGCGGCCGAUGUCGGAUUAGCUAGUUGGUGGGGUAAGAGCUCACCAAGGCGACGAUCCGUAGCGGGUCUGAGAGGAUGAUCCGCCACACUGGGACUGAGACACGGCCCAGACUCCUACGGGAGGCAGCAGUGGGGAAUUUUGGACAAUGGGCGCAAGCCUGAUCCAGCCAUGCCGCGUGAGUGAAGAAGGCCUUCGGUUGUAAGACUCUUUCGUCGGGGAGAAAGUUGCACUGGCUAUACCUGUGUAGAUGACGGUACCGCCAUAGAAGCACCGGCUAACUACGUG
rnacentral:rRNA from 1 species